GUGAUAAUUUUGAUUAUAUAUAUUGUUUCAUAAAAGAUACUUAUUUAAUUAAUUUAAUACUUUCAAAUGUAAUUAAAGAAAGUUAUAUAUUAAAAAUUAACUCAUUGGAUUUAUAUGAAAAAAAAAACAAAUGAUGAAAAUGAACUUAUAAAUACAGACAUAAAUACAGACAUAAAUACAGAUGUAAAUGCAAAUGUAAAUGCAAAUGUAAAUGCAGAUGUAAAUGCAGAUGUAAAUGCAGAUGUAAAUGCAGACGUAAAUACAUAUGAAAAUACAUAUGAAAAUAAUGUAAUGAAGUUUUAUUUAUCUAGUAAUAAUUUAAUUGAUAUAAAUAAAAAAAAAUGAAUUAAAAAUUGGUAUAUCCAAAUAUAAAUCAAAAAGAAUAAAAAAUAUAGAAGAUUUUGGUAAUAACUGUUUUUUUAUUGAUGUUAUAAUUAUAAGUAAAAGUGAUUUGUCAUAUGGAUAUUAUGACACAACAUUAAAUAAAUAUUUUAUUUUAAAUAAUAAUAUAUAUGAAAAAAUUGUAUAUAAUUUACAAAACGAACUAGCCAAAAUAGCACAUGAAGAUGAUUUUAACGAAAAUAGUAAAUAUACAAAAUUAAAAAAUGAACUGUUAAUGCUUCGUGAUGCAACACCUUUAUUUACAAUACAGGCGAUUGAUAUUGCUUAUUUUGAACAAAUAAAAAAAGCAACUUCUUUCGAUGAUGAAAUAGAGUAUAUAAUGAAUUCGUUGUGUCAGGUGAAGAUAUUUAAGAUUGACCAGGAGACAUACGAAAACACAAAAACAGGUAGCCGAAUACAACUGUUCAACGUUCAUGUUAAAGAAUCUAAUAAAUCUAAUAAAUUCGUUUCAUUGAUAAAUGAGCAUGACUAUAAUAAUUUUUUGUAUAAUAAUUUGCAAGGAGGUAAAAAAAAAGAUUAUAUCAUGAAAAAUUCAUUAAAUUAUAAUACAUUUAUUUCAAUGUUUUUAAAAGAGGAAAAUGAAAAGAGUAACAACAAAAACGAUAGUAAUAACAUGAAUAAUAAUACUCAUUAUUUUUAUGAUUAUGAUAAAUUUUUUAAAUUUUUUAACCGACGUGCGUUGAAUUAUACACCGGUUGUUUUUGACGCAACUUGUUCAACAUACAUAAAUAUUGAUAUUAAAUAUAAAAAUAAAUUGUUCCAAGAGUUAGAGAAUAUUUUAACUAUAAUACAAAAUGAACAAAAAAAUGGAGAACAAAAUGAACUAAAUGAAAAUAGCAACGUAUUAGUGAAUGAGAAUGUAUCAGAGGGUAAAGUCAAGUUAGAGGGUAAAGACACGUUAGAGGGUAAUGACACGUUAGAAGGUAAUGACAUGUCAGAAAUUAAAGAACUAUCAGAAAGUAUAGCCAUUCCAAAAAAAUAAAAACCAUAAUAAAAUAUACCCUUCUUUUAUUUAUACGAAUAUA
rnacentral:lncRNA from 1 species